rnacentral:ncRNA from 1 species
GCGGGUCAGCGGCUGACGCCAGCCACCUUCCCCGACCCUGUCUUGAAACACGGACCAAGGAGUCUAACAUGUGCGCGAGCCGCGGGGCAGUACGAAACCCGUAAGGCGAAAUGAAGGUGAACGCCGGCGCGGUCCGGCGGAGGUUGGAUCCCGUCCCGUCGGGGCGGGCGCACUACCGGCCGAUCUUCUCCGCCCUGUCGGCGAGGUCGAGCGAGAGCGUGCAAGUCGGGACCCGAAAGAUGGUGAACUAUGCCUGAGGAGGUUGAAGCCAGAGGAAACUCUGGUGGAGGACCGUAGCGAUUCUGACGUGCAAAUCGAUCGUCAAAUUUGGGUAUAGGGGCGAAAGACUAAUCGAACCGUCUAGUAGCUGGUUCCCUUCGAAGUUUCCCUCAGGAUAGCUGGCGCUCUGUCGCAGUUUUAUCUGGUAAAGCGAAUGAUUAGAGGUCUUGGGGGCGAAACGCCCUCAACCUAUUCUCAAACUUUAAAUUGGUAAGAAGCCCGACUCGCUCGUUUGGAGCCGGGCAUGGAAUGCGAGUGCCAAGUGGGCCACUCUUGGUAAGCAGGACUGGCGAUGCGGGAUGAACCGAACGCCGGGUUAAGGCGCCCGACGCGACGCUCAUCAGAGCCCACAAAAGGUGUUGGUUGAUAUAGACAGCAGGACGGUGGCCAUGGAAGUCGGAAACCGCUAAGGAGUGUGUAACAACUCACCUGCCGAAUCAAUC